rnacentral:rRNA from 1 species
GAUGAACGCUGGCGGCGUGCUUAACACAUGCAAGUCGAGCGAAGCGCUCACGCGGAAUUUUUCGAAAGGAAGCGGGAGUGACUUAGCGGCGGACGGGUGAGUAACGCGUGGGUAACCUGCCCCAUACCGGGGGAUAACGGUUAGAAAUGACCGCUAAUACCGCGUAAGCGCGCGAGGCCGCAUGGCCCCGGGCGAAAAACUCCGGUGGUAUGGGAUGGGCCCGCGUCUGAUUAGCUAGUUGGCGGGGUAAAGGCCCACCAAGGCGACGAUCAGUAGCCGACCUGAGAGGGUGGCCGGCCACAUUGGGACUGAGACACGGCCCAA